UCAGACGAUGCGUCAUGCAUAUCAAUAAGCGGAGGAAAAGAAACUAACAAGGAUUCCCCUAGUAACGGCGAGUGAAGCGGGAAGAGCUCAAAUUUGAAAUCUUAAAGGGUUUCCCUUUACGAAUUGUAGUUUAAAGAAGUGUUUUCUGUUGAGGUUUUGGUAAAAGUUCUUUGGAAUAGGACGUCAUAGAGGGUGAGAAUCCCGUAUUUGACCUUUACUCUCAACUUUGUGAUACACUUUCAAAGAGUCGGAUUGUUUGGGAAUGCAGUCCAAAAUGGGUGGUAAAUUUCAUCUAAAGCUAAAUAUUGGCGAGAGACCGAUAGCGAACAAGUACCGUGAGGGAAAGAUGAAAAGAACUUUGAAAAGAGAGUUAAACAGUACGUGAAAUUGUCAAAAGGGAAGCGUUUGACACCAGUGUUGUUUUUCUGAAAAUCAAUUAAAGAACUGUUUAUGCUAAGUUGUUUAGACUUUAUCAGCUAUCUGUUUAGUUUUGAGCUUUUCUUUAAUGCACUUUUCAGUUAACAAGUCAACAUCAAUUUCUUUUGCUGUAAAGAAGCUUGAGGAAGGUGGCUUGAGAUUCGUCUUAAGUGUUUAUAGCCUCUUGCCUAUGCAGUCGGAGAGAUUGAGGUCUGCAGCGUAGAUCCUUCGGGGCUAAAUGCAUUUGUGCUAAGUUAUAGCAUUUUAUAGACAACUUGUUGACUAUGAUUUGUCUUGUAGCUUACUCGCUUAUGUUAUUUUACCUACGCUUAGGAUGUUGAGCGCAUGUCUCUCUCU
rnacentral:rRNA from 1 species